rnacentral:misc_RNA from 1 species
CCGAGUUUACAACUCCCAAACCCCUGUGAACAUACCUAUACGUUGCCUCGGCGGAUCAGCCCGCGCCCCGUAAAACGGGACGGCCCGCCCGAGGACCCUAAACUCUGUUUUUAGUGGAACUUCUGAGUAAAACAAACAAAUAAAUCA